rnacentral:rRNA from 1 species
UGCGGUGGCAAUGGCCUGGGGGUUCCACCUGUUCCCAUUCCGAACACAGAAGUUAAGCCCCAGCGCGUCGAUGGUACUUGGCUGGACACGGCCCGGGAGAGUAGAUCGCCGCCGCAU